rnacentral:rRNA from 1 species
GAUGAACGCUGGCGGCGUGCUUAACACAUGCAAGUCGAACGAUGAAGCCCAGCUUGCUGGGUGGAUUAGUGGCGAACGGGUGAGUAACACGUGAGUAACCUGCCCUUGACUCUGGGAUAAGCGCUGGAAACGGCGUCUAAUACCGGAUACGAGCUUCCACCGCAUGGUGAGUUGCUGGAAAGAAUUUCGGUCAAGGAUGGACUCGCGGCCUAUCAGGUAGUUGGUGAGGUAACGGCUCACCAAGCCGACGACGGGUAGCCGGCCUGAGAGGGUGACCGGCCACACUGGGACUGAGACACGGCCCAGACUCCUACGGGAGGCAGCAGUGGGGAAUAUUGCACAAUGGGCGCAAGCCUGAUGCAGCAACGCCGCGUGAGGGACGAAGGCCUUCGGGUCGUAAACCUCUUUUAGCAGGGAAGAAGCGAAAGUGACGGUACCUGCAGAAAAAGCACCGGCUAACUACGUGCCAGCCGCCGCAGUAAAAC